rnacentral:rRNA from 1 species
UACGUAGGGCGCGAGCGUGUCCGGAAUUAUUGGGCGUAAAGAGCUCGUAGGCGGCUUGUCACGUCGGGUGUGAAAGACCGGGGCUUAACUCCGGUUCUGCAUUCGAUACGGGCUAGCUAGAGUGUGGUAGGGGGAGAUCGGAAUUCCUGGUGUAGCGGUGAAAUGCGCAGAUAUCAGGAGGAACACCGGUGGCGAAGGCGGAUCUCUGGGCCAUUACUGACGCUGGAGGAGCGAAAGCGUGGGGAGCGAACAGG